rnacentral:rRNA from 1 species
GACAGAGGAUGCAAGCGUUGUUCGGAAUUACUGGGCGUAAAGCGCGCGUAGGUGGUUUUGUGUGUCUGGUGUGAAAGCCCACGGCUUAACCGUGGAAGUGCGCCGGAAACUGCAAGACUAGAGUGUGAGAGAGGAAAACAGAAUUCUCAGUGUAGAGGUGAAAUUCGUAGAUACUGGGAGGAACACCGGUGGCGAAGGCGGUUUUCUGGAUCAUAACUGACACUAAUGUGCGAAAGCGUGGGUAGCAAACAGG